rnacentral:rRNA from 1 species
AAAUUGAAGAGUUUGAUCAUGGCUCAGAUUGAACGCUGGCGGCAGGCCUAACACAUGCAAGUCGAACGGUAACAGGAAACAGCUUGCUGUUUCGCUGACGAGUGGCGGACGGGUGAGUAAUGUCUGGGAAACUGCCUGAUGGAGGGGGAUAACUACUGGAAACGGUAGCUAAUACCGCAUAACG